AUUGAACGCUGGCGGCAUGCCUUACACAUGCAAGUCGAACGGCAGCACGGGUGCUUGCACCUGGUGGCGAGUGGCGAACGGGUGAGUAAUACAUCGGAACGUACCUUAUCGUGGGGGAUAACGCAGCGAAAGCUGUGCUAAUACCGCAUACGCCCUGAGGGGGAAAGCGGGGGAUCGAAAGACCUCGCGCGACUAGAGCGGCCGAUGCCUGAUUAGCUUGUUGGUGGGGUAAAAGCCCACCAAGGCGACGAUCAGUAGCUGGUCUGAGAGGACGAUCAGCCACACUGGGACUGAGACACGGCCCAGACUCCUACGGGAGGCAGCAGUGGGGAAUUUUGGACAAUGGGGGCAACCCUGAUCCAGCAAUGCCGCGUGAGUGAAGAAGGCCUUCGGGCUGUAAAGCUCUUUUGUCAGGGAAGAGACACCGGCUCUAACACAGUCCGGGAAUGACGGUACCUGAAGAAUGAGCACCGGCUAACUACGUGCCAGCAGCCGCCGUAA
rnacentral:rRNA from 1 species